AGGAGGCAGCGGGGGAAGCCGGGAGGAGGCGGCAGGCCCGGGGGAAGCAGGAGCCCAGGGGAAGCGGGCCUGUGGGAAGCCGGAGGAGGAGGCGGGGGAAGCCGGGAGGAGGCAGCGGGCCCGGCCGGAGCCAUGGGCAGCGGUGGUGGGCCCGGGCAGAGCCCAACUAGAGGCACAGAUGCUCUGUGCCCGGGCCCACUAGUUAGAUAUAAACUGUUCCAUGAUCUCUUUCCCUCCCUACAAACUUAGUGAAUAUUGAUGAAAACAUCGAACUGUCCCCUCAUCAGCCAUUAACUCUUGAAAAUGCUGGGUGAAUCAUUUUGUUGUGAGUGCAUACUUAUCACAUGCAUUGUCCCAAACAGACUCCAUUAUGUGGAGAGUUGGUAAGGUGAUUCUUCAUGGGAAGAAACUCUUGCAGCAUGGUAAGCAACUUAUGUAAACAUUACAGCCCUUGUGACAUGCACGAGUGUUUCCAGUGGCAUCCCAUGUAAGAACCAUAGCAUAUGGAAUCUUUUUAUGUGAGGAAUCGUGAGCAGACCUGCAAUCUGAAGUGCUGCAGUCGACAUAUCUUAUUGAGAAGUAGGCUGUAGUCACAGUCAAAUACCUUAAACAUGUGGCAACCUCUCAUCAUAUAUCUAGAUAAAAAGUAAAGUGAUGAAGGACUAAAUAUACCUUUUGAUAUUCCUUGAUGUUGACUAGGUUGAAAGAAAAUAUGUGAUCCUUUGCUCCAACGUAGAGUCUACUUCGCUCCUCAUCCAAAAGGAAAGUGUGAUAACUGGAACUAUUGACUAGUCCAUUGAAAGUGACUAUAUUGUUGGAUUCAUACAUUUCUGUAGGAUGGAAGACAAGAAACUUCUAGUCAAUUUGAUGAAUAAAUACUUUGAUCCUAAGCAAAAAUAGUUCAAAAUGACACUA